rnacentral:tRNA from 1 species
AACUCAGUAGUUUAGAAUUAAAAUUUUGGCUUGCAAAGCCAGCGAGACUAUAUUUGGUUUGAGUUU